GAAAUAGAGCCAGCUAGCAGCAGUCAAGGUGAAGUGGGCAAGGCGGUCCAGUCGCGUUUCGUCGAGACCCCGUCGCCAGCCGGCCGGCACGCCUGCUUCGCCGCUCCCGUGAGCCCUGCGGAAGCGUCACAGGGACUGCGUGACGGAGCCUUUUCCACGUAAAGGGGCCGUGUGGGUGGCCUUCAGGAAGGGGCCGAGGGCUUCCCGCGCGCCCUGCGACGACGCUGCCUGGUCCCGGCGUGGCCCUAUCGUGCGGCCUCAGGACACGGCCCUGACGGAGAGACGACAGCCUGGCGAUGGCAGGAACUUCCCGGAUAGCCAGGCGGCCUUCCUUGGCGCUCCGUGUGGAUCCUCCCCAGCGGGCAUCCGAGAGCUGAGUCAAAGGCUACGACCCGCGGAGGGGAUGGAAGCGGGGUGCCGGGUCGGGGCUCGUGACCUGGGAUUUUUGAGUCAGCUUUGGGGACGGGGAGGNNNNNNNNNNNNNNNNNNNNUGACACACCAGACGACAGCGUCCGGCACCCGGCAUGGCCAUAUCGUGCGGCCUCAGGACACGGCCAUUCAUAGGAGACCGUGAGUAGCGGAAUUGUCGGGUUUUGGCCAAUAUGCUGUGACGAUCACGCGCUGAUUUUCUGUUUUAUUUAUUGUAGCUGACCUGGAGAUGAUAUCCUGGAGAUGGCAGGAACUUUCUGGAUGGCGAGGU
ensembl:lncRNA